rnacentral:rRNA from 1 species
GGCGCACGGGUGCGUAACACGUGGGUAAUCUGCCUGGAAGACUGGAAUAACCUGCCGAAAGGCUGGCUAAUACCAGAUAAGCUCACGGGCUCUUCGGAGCCUGAGAGAAAAGGUGGCUCUGUAUACUAGCUAUCACUUCCAGAUGAGCCCGCGGGCCAUCAGCUAGUUGGGGGGGUAACAGCCCACCAAGGCAACGAGGGGUAGCUGGUCUGAGAGGACGAUCAGCCACCAAUGGGACUGAGACACGGUCCAGACUCCAUACGGGAGGCAGCAGUGGGGAAUCUUGCGCAAAUGGGCGAAAGCCUGACUGCAGCGACGCCGCGUGCGGGAAGAAGGCCUUCGGGUUGUAAACCGCUUUCAGGAGGGACGAAGCCACUCGGGUUAAUAGCCCAGAGGGUGACGGUACCUCCAGAAGAAGCCCCGGCUAACUACGUGCCAGCCGCCGC